UACGUAGGGGGCAAGCGUUGUCCGGAAUUACUGGGCGUAAAGCGUGCGCAGGCGGUUUGCUAAGACAGGUGUGAAAUCCCCGGGCUUAACCUGGGAACUGCGUUUGAAACUGGAAGGCUAGAGUGUGGCAGAGGGGGGUGGAAUUCCACGUGUAGCAGUGAAAUGCGUAGAUAUGUGGAGGAACACCGAUGGCGAAGGCAGCCCCCUGGGCUAACACUGACGCUCAUGCACGAAAGCGUGGGGAGCAAACAGG
rnacentral:rRNA from 1 species